AUUUGUGCAAAUGUAGAAAGGUUUGUUGCUAUUUCUGACUCCCUCAUACCCCAAGGCAAGAAACUGGGAGGCAGGGCUGUUAACCCUUUCAGGGCAGAGUUCAAGGUAGCCAAGGCUCCCCCUUGCUUUGUUGUUUGCAUCCCCGAUGGUGUAACACCAGGCACCUCUCUUUGCAAAGCGAAACCCACGCCUGUUUACUCAGAAAGAAAUUAGUGUUUUCAUUGCAAGGUAUGUUUGGGUGAGAACAGGAUUGCCUGGCAGUCCAUUAGAAAAAAAAAGCCACACUAAAAAACCAUAACCUCAUACGUCUUUGCAUGUAGUGACAGCUUUUCUUUCUAGGUGUAAGUAACAUCUCUUGCGGAGUGCAAAGAUGUAAAGCGUGCAAAGAUAGAGGCUAAGUCUGAGGGAGAAACAAAUUCUGCCCAGCUGACUCCUUAGGAAUCCUUUCCUUCCAUCUGUUGUUACCUUCCAAACCACCCCGAAAUUUAGGAGCUUCAAAGGACAAUGUAUCCAUUCUGAUCCUUCUGCAAUCAGAGCUGGGCUCUGCUCUGCCAUUUUUCUGCCCCACCCGGCCUCUGCUGGGGCUAGAAUGUUCCAGAUGGAUGUGGCACCUAAUAGCUGGUGGUGGUCCUGCUGGCAUGGCCGGAGGAGCCGAGGUGUCCUCCUCCGGCAUCGUGCUCUGUCCCCACGUGGGUUCCUUGGGCUUUCUCCCAGCGUGUUCCGAUUCAUGGAAUAUUCUACAGCAGUGAAAAUGGAGAACCACAGCUAUACGCAAGAGCUUGGACUGCCUUGACUAAUCCAGCAACCCGGCAUCUGGCAGCCUCCAGGCUUCUCGCCCUUUCCCAACGAGACUUCUGGCAUUGCCUUGACCAAAGGGGAUGUUGCAGACUCCGCAACGAGAUGAUAUCAGGAAGCCAAAUGCAAAACAGGCAUUCCCACAUCCCCGUUAGCCAACAUGAGUGGAAAUCACAGAGGAUUUCUUUUUUCACGUUUGUUCAUUGCAUCGUUACCAACGAGUCCUCUGUAAAAAACGUGUAAAUGAGGAAAGGGUCAGAGGGAAUAUCGAUGCAAUUGCUCUCAUCGGUGUAAGAAGAAGAGAAGUCGCCCAAACGUGUUAGCAAGUGAGA